rnacentral:rRNA from 1 species
AUUGAACGCUGGCGGCAGGCCUAACACAUGCAAGUCGAACGGUAACAGGAAACAGCUUGCUGUUUCGCUGACGAGUGGCGGACGGGUGAGUAAUGUCUGGGAAACUGCCUGAUGGAGGGGGAUAACUACUGGAAACGGUAGCUAAUACCGCAUAACGUCGCAAGACCAAAGAGGGGGACCUUCGGGCCUCUUGCCAUCGGAUGUGCCCAGAUGGGAUUAGCUAGUAGGUGGGGUAACGGCUCACCUAGGCGACGAUCCCUAGCUGGUCUGAGAGGAUGACCAGCCACACUGGAACUGAGACACGGUCCAGACUCCUACGGGAGGCGGCAGUGGGGAAUAUUGCACAAUGGGCGCAAGCCUGAUGCAGCCAUGCCGCGUGUAUGAAGAAGGCCUUCGGGUUGUAAAGUACUUUCAGCGGGGAGGAAGGGAGUAAAGUUAAUACCUUUGCUCAUUGACGUUACCCGCAGAAGAAGCACCGGCUAACUCCGUG